GGUAAAUUCAACCUGUUGUCCCACCUUCUGCUUACUCCACGUGGUUGUGUGUCCUUCGGUUUAUUGUGCGUGGCUCCAUGUCUGCUUUCCACGGAUCUUCAUCUAUUGAAAAGGAAAAAGACGGAGCUAUUUCUCUUCAAGUUUCUUCAGCUACUGCUAUUGCCUCUUCAAUCUUUUCAAGUACUCUUCAAUUUCAAGCAUACCAAAAAAUGAAGAGGCAUAACACUUGAAGAAGAUUUCCAGAAGAGGCCCUACUACUAAAGUAAUUCCGCAUGACAAGUUUCCGUUUCAUUGUUAGAAUGAAUUUUUUUCCAGUUUAGAGAAUAUUAGUUUAUUCACAGAUGUAUACGUGGUUAUAGUGUCAUUGUGUUAUUUGGCAACUCUUCCCCUGUCUGAGGGGAAAACUCAAAUAACCAUAUUGGUUCCUAAUUCAGAGAUGUAUAAUUAAUGGAGUUACAUUCAAGUAGCUGCAUGAGGUGGUUAUAUAUAGUGUCACAAUUAUGUUAUUGGCAAAAUUGAUGUAUUUAAGCUAUCAUACAUUUUUUAAGGAAUUGUAUCUUAUUGACAUAA